GACGAACGCUGGCGGCGUGCUUAACACAUGCAAGUCGUACGCUGAAGCCUGCUUCGGUGGGUGGAUGAGUGGCGAACGGGUGAGUAACACGUGGGUAAUCUGCCUUGUACUCUGGGAUAAGCCCGGGAAACUGGGUCUAAUACCGGAUAGGACCAUUCCUCGCAUGGGGGGUGGUGGAAAGCUCCGGCGGUAUGAGUUGAGCCCGCGGCCUAUCAGCUUGUUGGUGGGGUGAUGGCCUACCAAGGCGGUGACGGGUAGCCGGCCUGAGAGGGUGACCGGCCACACUGGGACUGAGACACGGCCCAGACUCCUACGGGAGGCAGCAGUGGGGAAUAUUGCACAAUGGGCGCAAGCCUGAUGCAGCGACGCCGCGUGAGGGAUGACGGCCUUCGGGUUGUAAACCUCUUUCGCCAGGGACGAAGGGUGAUACUGACGGUACCUGGAGAAGAAGCACCGGCUAACUACGUGCCAGCAGCCGCAGUAACAC
rnacentral:rRNA from 1 species